GAAAGUCUAGAACUUUGAGGUUGCCUGCAGUAGCAUGUAAACAGCUCCUUUUGACUGUAAUGUUUUACAGCUUGGUGUUGUGGUCGCCACACAUGCAUUAAAGUUACCAGAAGGGCCCAUUACACAAUGGGGCGAGUACUGGUGUGAGGUGACGGUAAAUGGGCUUGACACUGUGAGAGUACCAAUGUCUGUGGUGAACUUUGAGAGGCCCAAGACCAAAAGACGCAAGUACUGGUUAGCCCAGCAAGCUGCCAAAGGAAUGUCCCCCACUGGCUCCCAGAUGAUCUGAUCCUAUUCUCCCUGAAAAGCAGCAAAGCAGAAUCAAAGGAACAGUGGAGCAAAGAUGGGCGAACAUCCUGAUAGCACACCUUGCUUUAAUCAAAUAUGAAAUUUCAGAGAGCAUAUGGGGACAUCAGACUAAACUGCGUAUACAUGUUGAAUUCUAUUUGCCGUCUCCAACUUCAACUGUUAGUGUAUCUGGCCUUCUAGGGCAAUCCUGCUGAAGUACCAGGUUGUAUAUUUGAUAAGCUGAAUAUUAAUAGACCAAAAUGGUCUAGAUCCUUUUUAGCCUCUUUCUCCAUUGCAAUUCAUUAGAACAAAUUGAAGAGCCAGCCAUUGUCUCCACUAUUUGGCUCUGUCUUGUCACCCAAUCUGAACAUUUCUAUUUUGAGAAGAAAUAAAGAGAUUGUAUUCUU